GACAGCUACACUUCACUGACUCUGUGUGUUUGCAUACGUGUCCUGCCUCUCUGCUCCCAGCCGUUAAGAGAUCAGAGUUGAUCGGUGGCUGUCCAGGCCUUUCAGAGACACUGACACGCCGGCAGCACAAUGAUGAUGUCACUGAUUCUACUGCUGGUCACCCUGGGGCUCCUUGUUCAGGAUUCAUCAGGAGAUAUCAUCCUGACUCAGUCUCCUGCAUCUCAGUCUGUUGUUCCAGGUCAGACUGUCUCUAUCAGAUGUAAAGCCAGUUCAAGUGCUCAGUACAUACCUUCACUGGUACCUCCAGAAACCUGAUGAACCUCCCAAACUCUUGAUUUAUAUGCUACUAAUCGUCAGUCUGGAGUUUCAGGUCGUUUUAGUGGAAGUGGAUCUGGGACUGCCUUCACUCUGAGCAUCAGUGGAGUUCAGACUGAAGAUGCAGGAGAUUAUUACUGUCAGCAGAGUAACAGCUUCCCGUUCACACAGUGA